AACCUAGUACCCAUAUUCUUCUUCUACAUUCUUCCCUUUCUCUCAUGUUUCUUGUAACGGAAUCGGAACGAGAAACUCCAAACCAGAAUGAUUUUUCAAGCACAUUGAGUGCCUGUGUGUUCUUGAUCCGGCGUUCGGUGAUUGAGCUGCAUGAUGCAACGGCAAAAGACCUGGGAUCUUGUGGUAGGAUGCAAGUUUCAUAGGAUUAACAAACCAUGCCUUAUUAUGUAUUGUCAGAAGUGUCUCUUAAACAGGUUAUUUCUAUCAUCUCUUCAUUAUGUUUAUUUUAAAUUCAACACUUAUUGAAUACCUAUCUAAUCUUAUUGCGACGAUUUCAUCCAAGUUCGAUAUUGCGAGAGGGCUGAAGAAGUAGCUAGUUUGGAGCAGUGGACUUACCCCAAAUGCAGGGGCAUUUGCAUGGAUAAAAGAGGCGACAAACUCACUGGUAUUCUCAUUAAUAGAGCAAAAGCUAGAGGAUUUUCUUCUGUAUCUGAAAUGCUACUUAUAACGAUGCUGACAUGAUUUGCUGCAAAAAAGCGGCGCAUCCUUCAUUGACCUGCCGUCAGCAACCCUUGUGUUCUGUUUCGAUUGGCUUUGGCUUCUCUGAGAUCAACAUCUGUAUUCCUUGCAGGCUCCCAGCAGCAGAAAUGGAAUCAGCCCACUUGUGCAGAGACCCAGGAAUGGGUUUUACCUCUGGUGAAAAGUCAAUCAAGCUUAAAGUUCCUCAAAAAAGAAAACAAGAUUGUGGUACAAAACCAAAGAUACCAAGGCAGAAGCCAGUGAAUGAUGAUAUUGAGGUCUUUGAUAUUACAAAGGAGCAACCAGAGCUUAUUCUUCAAGAUAAGUAUAAUGUGAUAACUGGAUGCAAGGGAAAAUUUUCUCCGAAUGUCCAGUUUCACAUUAAACUCCUCUCUCAUUUACUGGAGGAUCAGGGGGGAGAAUAUGUAAAACUGAGCCCAUCAGAUGGGGAGAACUCAUGGUUUGAUGUGCUCAAGAAAUGCUUGCCUGCAUCCCAAAGUGUUCUUAAAGAACAGGGAGUCGAUCCUCUUGAGAACAUGAGUUCUAAGGAAAACGAUCUAAGCAGGAUGAAGAGUGAGCUCGACUCGAAGGAAAGGAGUUUGAGCAGAUGGGAAGCGAAUCUAGAACUCGAACAAAGUGAAAUUGCUUCAAGACAAGAGAUGAAUGAUAGUAAGACUGAAGAGCUCGAUCGGAGGGAGAAGAUUUUAGGAUCAGUUAGCGAAUUUACAUGCAACUGUUACAAGGAAUAUCGAGCUACCCACAGCCAACAAACCGUGCCCUAUUAUGUAUUGUCUAAAGUGCCUCUUGAACAGGUAUGGAGAGAUGGCCGACGAAGUAGCUAGUUUGGAGCAAUGGACUUGCCCCAAGCAAGUCCUCGAGUCAGAGGCCAUGCUUUCAAAGGGUGAUCAUGUGCACUGGAAAUUGAACUGUUUGGAGGAUUCGGAAGUGCUGCAUCAAACAUGCAAGUUUCAGAGUAUUAACAAACCAUGCCCUAUUAUGUAUUUUCAGAAGUGUCUCUUGAACAGAUAUUGCGAGACGGCUGAAGAAGUAGCUAGUUUGGAGCAAUGGACUUGCCCCGAAUGCAGGGGCAGCUUUUGCAUG